UGGGGGAAUAUUGCACAAUGGGGGGAAACCCUGAUGCAGCGACGCCGCGUGAGUGAAGAAGUAUUUCGGUAUGUAAAGCUCUAUCAGCAGGGAAGAUAAUGACAGUACCUGACUAAGAAGCUCCGGCUAAAUACGUGCCAGCAGCCGCGGUAAUACGUAUGGAGCAAGCGUUAUCCGGAUUUACUGGGUGUAAAGGGUGCGUAGGCGGUUUGGUAAGUUGGAUGUGAAAUACCCGGGCUUAACUUGGGGGCUGCAUCCAAUACUGUCGGACUUGAGUGCAGGAGAGGAAAGCGGAAUUCCUAGUGUAGCGGUGAAAUGCGUAGAUAUUAGGAGGAACACCGGUGGCGAAGGCGGCUUUCUGGACUGUAACUGACGCUGAGGCACGAAAGCGUGGGGAGCAAACAGGAUUAGAUACCCUGGUAGU
rnacentral:rRNA from 1 species